ACUCAAAUGAAUUGACGGGGGCCCGCACAAGCGGUGGAGUAUGUGGUUUAAUUCGACGCUACGCGCAGAACCUUACCAACCUUUGACAUGUCCACUAUGGGCCUGAGAGAUCAGGUCCUUCACUUCGGGUGGGUGGAACACAGGUGCUGCAUGGCUGUCGUCAGCUCGUGUCGUGAGAUGUUGGGUUAAGUCCCGCAACGAGCGCAACCCUCAUCUUUAGUUGCCAUCAGGUUAUGCUGGGCACUCUAGAGAAACCGCCGGUGACAAGCCGGAGGAAGGCGGGGAUGACGUCAAGUCCUCAUGGCCCUUACAGGUUGGGCUACACACGUACUACAAUGGAAGUGACAAUGGGAUGCAACUCCGCAAGGAGAAGCCGACCUCAAAAAACUUCCUCAGUUCGGAUUGUCCUCUGCAACUCGAGGGCAUGAAGCUGGAAUCGCUAGUAAUCGCGCAACAGCAUGGCGCGGUGAAUACGUUCCCGGGCCUUGCACACACCGCCCGU
rnacentral:rRNA from 1 species